UAGGGAAUCUUCGGCAAUGGACGGAAGUCUGACCGAGCAACGCCGCGUGAUUGAAGAAGGUUUUCGGAUCGUAAAGCUCUGUUGUUAGAGAAGAACGUUGGUAGGAGUGGAAAAUCUACCAAGUGACGGUAACUAACCAGAAAGGGACGGCUAACUACGUGCCAGCAGCCGCGGUAAUACGUAGGUCCCGAGCGUUGUCCGGAUUUAUUGGGCGUAAAGCGAGCGCAGGCGGUUCAUUAAGUCUGAAGUUAAAGGCAGUGGCUUAACCAUUGUACGCUUUGGAAACUGGAGGACUUGAGUGCAGAAGGGGAGAGUGGAAUUCCAUGUGUAGCGGUGAAAUGCGUAGAUAUAUGGAGGAACGCCGGUGGCGAAGGCGGCUCUCUGGUCGGUAACUGACGCUGAGGCUCGAAAGCGUGGGGAGCAAACAGG
rnacentral:rRNA from 1 species